GUAAGUGUGCAGGCGCAGCGAGCCGGUUGUCUUAGUAGCUCCGGAGGGGGCGUCUUGGAACCCUUGCUAGGCUCAGUGUUAGGCGUUCCUAUUUUGUUUCAGUCGCCUUAGGUUCCUCAGCACCUCAUCGAUCUCAUCUCACGCUGUUCACGUUGACAGCAAAAGCUCCCUCCGGCCCUUUGCAGCUUCGUUGUCCAAUAGCGGCGUACUAGGUACUGUUCUGCCCUGCUCCCUGACCACCAUGAACUAAGCAGCUUUGCCAAGCCCUUCUGCCAUGAUGAUGUCUCUGCCUUGGAGCCAGCCAAUCAUGGACUGAAACCAUUAGCAAAUUAGACCUCUGUUGUAAACUGUGAGCGUUGGGUGUUGUCUCAGCAAUAAAAAAUGCUAUACAUAAAA